rnacentral:rRNA from 1 species
UGAGGAAUUUUGCGCAAUGGGGGAAACCCUGACGCAGCGACGCCGCGUGGAGGACGAAGGCCUUCGGGUCGUAAACUCCUGUCAAGUGGGACGAAGGCCGCGGGGAUGAAUAAGCCUCGUGGAUUGACGGUACCACUGAAGGAAGCCCCGGCUAACUCCGUGCCAGCAGCCGCGGUAAUACGGAGGGGGCGAGCGUUGUUCGGAAUUAUUGGGCGUAAAGGGCGCGUAGGCGGUUUGGCAAGUCAGUCGUGAAAUCCCUCGGCUCAACCGAGGAACUGCGAUUGAAACUGCCGGACUUGAGUCCCGGAGAGGGUAGCGGAAUUCCCAGUGUAGCGGUGAAAUGCGUAGAUAUUGGGAGGAACACCAGUGGCGAAGGCGGCUACCUGGACGGGUACUGACGCUGAGGCGCGAAAGCGUGGGGAGCAAACAGGAUUAGAUACCCCCGUAGUCC